AGAAUCAACGCUGGCGGCGUGCCUAACACAUGCAAGUCGAACGAGAAAGUGGAGCAAUCCAUGAGUAAAGUGGCGCACGGGUGAGUAACACGUGACUAACCUACCCUUGAGUGGGGGAUAACCUAGGGAAACCUGGGCUAAUACCGCAUAAUACCUUCGGGUCAAAGGAGCAAUUCGCUUAAGGAGGGGGUCGCGGCCGAUUAGUUAGUUGGCGGGGUAAUGGCCCACCAAGACUAUGAUCGGUAUCCGGCCUGAGAGGGCGCACGGACACACUGGAACUGAAACACGGUCCAGACUCCUACGGGAGGCAGCAGUGGGGAAUUUGCGCAAUGGGGAACCCUGACGCAGCAACGCCGCGUGGAGGAUGAAGUCCCUUGGGACGUAAACUCCUUUCGAUCGGGACGAUUAUGACGGUACCGAGAGAAGAAGCCCGGCUAACUUCGCGCCAGCAGCCGC
rnacentral:rRNA from 1 species